AUUGAACGCUGGCGGCAUGCCUUACACAUGCAAGUCGAACGGCAGCACGGGAGCAAUCCUGGUGGCGAGUGGCGAACGGGUGAGUAAUAUAUCGGAACGUGCCCAGUCGUGGGGAUAACGUAGCGAAAGCUACGCUAAUACCGCAUACGAUCUAUGGAUGAAAGCGGGGAUCGCAAGACCUCGCGCGAUUGGAGCGGCCGAUAUCAGAUUAGGUAGUUGGUGAGGUAAAGGCUCACCAAGCCGACGAUCUGUAGCUGGUCUGAGAGGACGACCAGCCACACUGGGACUGAGACACGGCCCAGACUCCUACGGGAGGCAGCAGUGGGGGAAUUUUUGGACAAUGGGCGCAAGCCUGAUCCAGCAAUGCCGCGUGCAGGAUGAAGGCCUUCGG
rnacentral:rRNA from 1 species